rnacentral:rRNA from 1 species
UCGACGAGAUGGCCCACAGAAUUAAUUGAGACUUGGAGAGCUUGCUCGAAGAGAGGAAAGAGAAGGAAGUGGAAUAUCCAUCUAGUGGCAAACGGGUGAGUAACACGUGGGUUACCUACCUCCUUGAUGGGGAUACCAGUUGGAAACGACUGUUAAUACCGAAUGUGCUCUACGGAGUAAAGGAGCUUCAAAGCUUCGCGAGGAGAUGGGCCUGCGGUGCAUUAGAUAGUUGGUGGGGUAAGAGCCUACCAAGUCGACGAUGCAUAGCUGAACUGAGAGGUUGAACGGCCACACUGGGACUGAGACACGGCCCAGACUCCUACGGGAGACAGCAGUUAGGAAUAUUCGUCAAUGGGGGGAACCCUGAACGAGCAAUGCCGCGUGAACGAAGAAGGUCCUCUGGAUUGUAAAGUUCUGUUGUAUGGAGAGAACGUUAUGAAUAGGAAAUGAUUCAUAAGUGACGGUACCAUAUAAGAAAGCCACGGCUAACUACGUGCCAGCAGCCGCGGUAAUACGUAGGUGGCGAGCGUUAUCCGGAUUUAUUGGGCGUAAAGCGUCCGCAGCCGGUAAAGUAAGUAUAGAAUAAAAGCCCGAGGCUUAACCUCGGUUCGUUCUAUAAACUGCUAUACUCGAGUGUGGUAGAGGCAAGUGGAAUUUCUAGUGUAGCGGUAGAAUGCGUAGAUAUUAGAAGGAACACCAGUGGCGAAGGCGACUUGCUGGGCCAUCACUGACGGUCAGGGACGAAAGCGUGGGGAGCGAAUAGGAUUAGAUACCCUAGUAGUCCACGCCGUANACGAUGAGCACUAAGUGUNGGGAAACCGGUGCUGAAGUUACACAUUAAGUGCUC